rnacentral:lncRNA from 1 species
GCAUACAAAGCAGGCAAAAUAACUCUUAUAUUAAAUUUGCUUAUCUAAAAAUACUCUUUAAGGUGUUGAAAGUAAUACUAGAUACCUUAGUAAAACUUUGAUGAUUUCUUUUUCACCAUUUUUUUCUUUCUCUUCUUCUCUCACUAAUUUAUUAUCUCUCUCUCUUUCUUUAAACCUUUAAAAAUGGAAGAAAUAGAAGUGUAGAGACGAAGGGAAAGGGGCAAUUUAUAGAAUUUAGAACCGUUAGAUUCAUGAAAAGUGGCAAAAUCCAGUAAAGAGAGAGAAAAAGAUUCUUAACACAAAAAACGAGAGAGGAGGACCUCCUCCACUAGCGAGGAUGACGCGUUGCCCAAGGCAGCAGCGAUGCACUGCCUGAGGUGGCAGUGCCUAGCUGGCCCACU